AGUUCUUAGUCCAGUUGAAAACACAGCACAUUUCAGAUUAAAAAUUUGUGAAUGACUAACUCAUAUACCAGUAUAUACUCUAUCCAGGUAAGUAUAUAAUUAAUCUGCCAUUUGAGAUCAUUGUGUCAGCAAGCAAAACCAAUCAGACAUGCGCUGCAUGCAUGAACAUUGGAAAAAAGUCACACUUACUAUGAUACUAUCGACCGAACUCUGGAGGAUAGCUACAAACUGGUUUGUUCAAGUCUUAGAUACACAUAUAUUCUUAGAUAUACGUAUAUUCUUAGAUACACGUAUAUUCUUAGAUACACGUAUAUUCUUAGAUAUUAUUGCUGACAAAGUAGCAAGAGGGUGUAGGUUUAAUUUGUUUCUGUAGAGAUGGAUAGCAGCUUCCGAUCAGAAAGGCGACUCCUCCGUCCUAUCAAAGAAACAACCAGAAGGACCACCAUUAGGCAGCAGAGCUAGCCUAACUACAUUUUCA
rnacentral:lncRNA from 1 species